CUGGGUUGGGGUUUAUGGGAGAUGGGAAACAGAGAAGGAAUUCCAGCUGCAUUAUCCUAGUUAGAUGCUCAGGUGACCUUUAUGCUGUCUUCCGGUUUUAUGAAAACAAAACUGAAACUUCCUGAGAGCAAGAACGUUAGUGAAGCUAUGGUCCAUGAAGGUUGCCAUUGUCACUAAUCUGCUUCCACCUUCCCUCAGCAACCUCGGGGAUUUUUUGUUUGUUUCUUAUUUUUAAAAUCAGUAGACUAUAAUAUUGUCAUCUGUAGCAACCAAGAUGUUCCAUGGUAACACCAGAAAUUCUUUCUCCUGUGUGAAUGAGAGGUGCAGACUCGUGUUGGUAGAUGCCUAGAGAUAGAAGAGUGAAUGAGAUGUGGAACCAGUGCCCAAAGCCUCACAACAAAGCAGAAGUGAUGUGAAACCAUCUAAAUCAACACCUAAACAAGCACAUUGCUUACAAUGUGUGGACAAGGAGUUACAGAAGCUCAAAGUAGCAAGAACGUGAACACAAAGAGUCAUAAGCAGGUGAAAUGACAGCAGUGGCAGAAGAGAUGGAGAGCAAGACCAGCACGCCUUCCACCAGGAGAAACCUCAGACAUACAGAAACAAAACACAUGAAGACGCGAGGAGCAUCGGUCUUUUUCUG